rnacentral:lncRNA from 10 species
CUGGGUCUCCCAAUAUUAAUCACUGUUUAAACAAAGUCGAGCCCACCUUCCCUCCCAGAGUAGUAACAUCUAAUGUCCAAAUUGGACCUAGACUUGACCUCUCCUGCUUCCAAUGGGCACUGGAAGCAUCUUACCUCCUCCGGGCCCUACUUAGUAACCAACUCAUCAGAGACAGAGGGAACAUAGGUUUAUUGCAUAAAUCAAGACACUUUCGGGUAUGAAAGGGAAUAUAAAAAAUUGUGCUGUAACAACAAGUACAAAUGAAGACAUAAAGUCAAAUAGGUUAUUUGUCAGCAUCUUAGUCAGCAAGGACUCUAGAAGAUGCGUCAGUUAUUUUUGUAAUCGAGGUGAAAUUUAUGUACAGCAAAAUGCACAUAACUUUAGUGUAUACUUCAUUGACCUUUGACAGACAUAUAUACCUGCGGAGCCAAUACCCCAUCAAGACAAACCAUCUCCAUCCUCCAGAGGGUCCCUUUAUGUCCCUUCCAUUUAAUCUCUCCCCGUGGCAACCACAGUUCUGAAUUCUAUCAGCCUCUUCUUGAGAUAUGCUAAGGCUUUCUAGAUCUUCUAUUUUCACUGACUUUUAAUUCAAUUCUGUUGUGACCAUAAAACAGGCUCUAUAACAUUUCACUCAAAAUUUUUAUUUUGACUUAGUUCAUGGCCCAGCAUAGGGACCUUCUUGGAAAAAAAAAACCCACAUGCAUUCAAAAGCAAUGUGUUCUGCAGUGAAUAGAUGGAGUUUUCUAUAAAUGCCAACUGAUUCAAGUGGUUUGAAAGUGUUGUUCAAAGAAUCUAUAUCUUUUCUGAUACGAUGUCUAUUUUUUCCAAACUGUCACACUUUGCUCAUACGAAGAGCAGCUGUUUUGAAGUUUUGGGUUCCCGAGUGAGUCAACCAACAACCUUUCCAUUCCCUGUCCUUAUGUUUAUUUACCUUAGGCUGUAGAAUUAUGCCAGAUGUUAGUCAUGUCUCUGUCUGGAAUGUAUACAGAGAGACAUACAGCACUCAGAACUCCUAAAUUCUAGACCACCUGUUUACACAGGCAGUCCUGUAAAAUGAGCGGUGAUGCCCAAAUCCCGCUGUUUACUCCUUCUCCCCACUGUGGCCCUUCCAAGGGAAUGAUUCACAUGAGGAUCCACAGCCAAUGGGAACAGCACGGGGUCAGGAGAGCUAGAGAUAGCAAUCUUCCCCAGCCCCAUGAGAUGCCAGGAUGCCCCCAUCGACACCAAGUUAGAGGAUGUGGCUUAGGAAAGGUGCUCCCACCUCACACUCAUUGUCUGUAGAGGAGACUUGAAGUCCACCUGGCCAGCUGGGAGGCAGAACUGAGCAAGGGACCCUGAUCUAAGCCGCUGAUGUUCUUGACUCCCAAGGCAGGAAGGCAGAGGAGGAGUGAGGCGAGGGGAGCCUGCCCACCUCUACUGACCCAUAUUGUCUGACUCAAUGUGGGCUUCUGUAACAAAUACCAUAGGCUGGGUGGCUUAAACAACAGAAAUUUGCUUCUCAUAGUUCUGGAAGCUGGGUCAAGGUGCCAACAGUCAGUUCCUGGUGAGGGCCCUAUUCCUGGCAUGCAGAUAGAUGCCCUCUUUCUGUAUGCUCACAGAGCAGAGAGAGAGAGGAAGCAUGCUCUCUCUUCCCAUAUGAGCACUAAUCCCGUCAUGAAAAUUUCACCCUCAUGACCUAAUUAACCCCCAAAGACCCCACGUCCAAACACAAUCAUAUUGAAGAUGAAGUGUUCAACGUGGAAAUCUGCGGGGACACAAACAUGCUACCCGUAAUACCUCAUCAUAUGACAAAUGUGUUCAAAGACAGUUGGGAUCUGACCCAGUAGGUGAUCCCUCUCCAGUUAAAGAGGAGCUAGCGAGGGAACAGAGAGGGAGAAUACUUCCUUUCUCCCACUCCCAGCCCUUGACAUUUCCAAUGAGGAGACAGAGCCAGAACUUACUGCCUCCAUGGAUGAAGAGAGAAAUGUGGGGAAAGGAAGAGAGAGGUUAACCUUUCCUGGUGGCCCCUAUACUCCUCUGAUUCUGGUCUCUUGCCACCCACUGGGCUCAACAACAGCUUGUCAGAAGGCUACUACUGAACUUCCUUACAGGUGAGUCCACAUCACUGUAUCAGACCAGACCUGCUCCCACCUGAGGGGUAACUGUUUCACUGUCCUCAGAACCUUUUGAAAUAAGUCAAAACAAGGUAUUAAUUAAGUCUAUGUCCAAAUCAUACCCCAAGUCAAAAGUUUAUUCAUUUUCUCUUUCUUUGCCAUGUCCUUCAGCAUACAUUGGGCUAGGCAGUAUACUGGAUGCACUGUACCCUGCUUCACACCCUCUCAGCCCACCUCUUAGUCACCCUCUGUGGCAUCUCUCUCCCUCCACAGAUACAUCACAUUUAUUUGUUUUUUUUUUUUUUUUUUUUUUUUUUUUUUUUGCCACAGGGCUAAGGUGUGGGUGCCUGGCAUUCAGCUUUGCUUCAACCUGGAAGUGCAGAUGAGUUAACAUCCCCAGGAGGAAAUCUUGACCCAUAGGGAAUGAGAGCUGAUGCAUAAUACCGCUAUCCAUCUAUUCAGCAGACAAUCCUGAGGCCCAUUCUAAUGGCUUCUCAGAAGAAUCUAGUUAGAUCAAAUUCUAAUUACCCAUAAUGGUGAGCAACUUAGUAAUCUCACCUGUAUUGGUUUUCCCUCUUUCUCUGGUUCACUCUACUCUGUUAUCUAUUAUUGCUACCUGGGAUCACAUCUCUGAUCUAACUAUUUGCAUACAAGCCUUGUCUUAGCUCUGUUUUCUGAGAGGGACUCAGGUUAAGAUGUAUAGUGAUGUCAAAUAAUCAUAAUACAAUAAAGAGUGUUUCAAAUUUGAGUAAUAUGAACCUUCUCUUACUAUUCUCUUCUGGGAAACAAAAUCCAAAUAAAAUAUUCUUCACUUUAUAAAUUAAAAAGCAAAGAAAUGUCUGAAAUUCUCUUUUCCCUGUUGUUGCAUAGAAGACUCACUUAGGGAAGAGUGUGAAUUUCUUCUUUAGCAAGUUUAUUCUAAACCAUCAUCCAGUAGGAUGGAUAUGAUUUUGUUAACAACGCCAGAGUUGAAUUAAUCCAACAUUCUGCUGUAGUUACUUCAUAUUUCCUUUAGGUAGAAAAAUACAAUAUAACAGAUAUAGCCAGAGGAUACUCAUUCUUUCCUCUGCAUUCCCUCCCUCUCCACAAGUAACCCAUUUCUGAAGUUGUUGUGAAUUCUACCCAUAAGUAAAUAGUUUAUAUGUAAACGAUAAGAAGAAUAUCAGUGAAAGGUUUUUGCAGGAAACAGGAUGAUGAGACAUUAUUAUGUGUUUGCUUUUCCUAGGUUUCAAAGAGUCCAAAAUAACAAAUAUGAAAACAAUACUAUAAAUGUUCACUAUUUCAUUACUACAAAUAUUAAAAUUCAGUAUGAACACUGAAUAUUUCAAAAUGUGAAACCAUGGGACAAAUACUAAACCCUCAUGAUUUAUAACUAAAUUUGUACUGUGCAGCAACACCAUUUCUCCCAAGAAAUGAUAGUCCUUUAUUGUUUUGCCAGAUAUGAAUACUAGCAGAGACCUAUGAUUAUUAGAAGAAACAGGAUAGAAGUGAAAUGAAAGAAUAAAAAGAAUCUUGAUUUGAGCCUCCCUUGGAGGUCAGUUGUUCACAAUCAAACUCAGAGGGAAGAAAUAUACCAUCAAGAGGUUGGUUUUGGAUACUAUGCCCCCUAGAUCCUUCCAGAACAAAAAAUUAUGCCCUCUCUUUCAGAUAGUGCCAUGUGGAACAGAAUUUGAGGCUACUUUCUACCAACUUUUUGACGUAGCCAAAAUCCCAUAGAUUAGCAUUCUGUAGCUCUUUCAGAACUGAGGUUUGUUUUUGUUUUUGUUAUUUAACACUGACUCUGUGUUUUGGUAAAGAAAU